rnacentral:rRNA from 1 species
CCUCCCACCCUUUGUGUACCUACCUCUGUUGCUUUGGCGGGCCGCGGUCCUCCGCGGCCGCCCCCCUCCCCGGGGGGGUGGCCAGCGCCCGCCAGAGGACCAUCAAACUCCAGUCAGUAAACGAUGCAGUCUGAAAAACAUUUAAUAAACUAAAACUUUCAACAACGGAUCUCUUGGUUCUGGCAUCGAUGAAGAACGCAGCGAAAUGCGAUAAGUAAUGUGAAUUGCAGAAUUCAGUGAAUCAUCGAAUCUUUGAACGCACAUUGCGCCCUUUGGUAUUCCGAAGGGCAUGCCUGUUCGAGCGUCAUUACAACCCUCAAGCUCUGCUUGGUAUUGGGCACCGUCCUUUGCGGGCGCGCCUCAAAGACCUCGGCGGUGGCGUCUUGCCUCAAGCGUAGUAGAACAUACAUCUCGCUUCGGAGCGCAGGGCGUCGCCCGCCGGACGAACCUUCUGAACUUUUCUCAAGGUUGACCUCGGAUCAGGUAGGGAUACCCGCUGAACUUAAGCAAAAAA